ensembl:lncRNA TRHDE-AS1 TRHDE antisense RNA 1
GGGUUCUGGACACAAGCGACGGCAGCUUCCGCGACCCCCAUCAGCCCCGCCUCACUCUGGACACCGGGCUGUGAGCUCUGGGACGCGCCCAACUUGGAAAGCGUCUUGCUUGCCCAGCGCGCGCUACUUCUCGGACGAGCACCCGGCGGCGGGGCACAUGCUGCCCCCGCCCCUGCGCGCCUGCGGCUCCCGGCUCUCCCUCCCCUGCGCCGCGCUCUCGCCUCGCUUUCCGCGGGAGCCUUCCAACCGGUUCUCGGCUAGGGAGAAGGACGGGAGCGGUGGGAAGAGCGAGGGUGUAGAGAGGGAAGUUAGGGCUUUCGCUUUCUCCCCCCACUCCAGCGGCGGCGUUCGGUCCUCUGGGUGGAAUGUGCUCGCAGCAGCAGUGACGGCGGCCACAGCACGGGAGGCACCCGAGCCAUACACCCUGCAGCUGGAGAGAAAAGGAUGGCCGAGGUGGGAGAGACUAGAGUGAACCAGCAGGAGGAAGUCCCAGGGCCGCGAAGCUACGACGGAGAUCCGUCCUGGAAAAGCCUUCUCCACCCUGGGCACUUUAAGCGGCGGUGGCGGCAAACGGCAGGAGGUUGCAGACCCGACAGCGAGACUCCCUCAUUCCAGUCUUGCUCUGCCCUCCGGAGAUGACAAGUGAGAAAGAAGUGUCCGGCCGGGCCAUCCCCUUCAGAGAAGCAACCACUUCACAAGAAGAUUCUGAAGUUGGCCAUUUUUGAUCCCAGAACAGUUUCUCAUAGAUUAGAAAUAUUGGAGUCUACACAAAAAUCGAUAUUCAUUUACAAGAUCAUCACUAAACUUAUCUUGCAUAACUUACCAAGAAUAACUGUAAAAUGUGCUGGGAAUGCAAUGUCCUGAGAUAAGGAAGAACUGCCUGAAACAGCCUGGAUCUUAUUCCUGUACUUCCUAGGGAAUGUAACAUCUCAAGUUAAAGAGGAACUGCCCGGAACAGCCCGGGGAUUGUUCCUCUCUCCUGAGAAGGAAGAUUACCUCCAAAGCUCAUCCACUGAGUCACACUGCCCCUGUGGUGGAGGGCGGGCUGCCUUUCCAGGUUCCUCAGCUGUGGUGUAACUGAAGCAGGCACAAUCAAGACUCCAUCUGCUCGAGGCAGCUUUCUCGAACCUUGGGGAACCUACUCACAAUGGAUCACAGGCUUCUUUUGUUUUGUUUCUUGCUGCCUAUCUUGGGAAGCAAAAAUCAGCUGAGUGAAGAUGAGGAAGAAGGUGUUAAAGGUUUGAAGAAAAAAGGAAAAGGAUAUACUAAUCUAAGAGGACAAGUAAGUAGAACAUAGAUAAUGAAAAUGCUGGCCCUUAGGACUGUUGGGCCUAAAUGCUCAUAUUAUAUUGGUAGUCACAAAUUUGAACUUUCUCUAGAGCCAAUUUUUGCAUGUGUGUGCAGGCCUGGAGUAGUUGGAGAGUUGGAUUUAAUAGAAUUGAGGGUCAAGCAACUACAACCAGGGAAGAGUGGGACAAGGGAGAUAAAGGAUAUUGGCAGGGGAGCAAUUAUAAACAUGGACCAUGAUCAAAACUGGACAGGAAGGAAAAUAGAGAUAAGAGGGGUGGAAGGUUAAAAAUAGUGAAAAUGAGAUAGAAUGAAUAGGUUGUAGGUCCCUGUAAAGUUGAAGAAGUAUUAUUAUGCAGUACUCGUUAUUGAAAUGAGGUCACUAUGCUUAAGGCACAGUGAAUCCUAGAAAAUAGUGGUUUUGUUUCUCAUUAGGCAAUACAUUCCUCCUUGCUCCAGAAUGCAACAUACAUGUAUCCUUUUCUGUACUAUUUUUUAUUAAGAAUUCAUACUUAAUUCCACUGACUGCCACUCAAUUUUAAUGUACAGUAGGGAAUUCCUGUACUAUGUAUUAUGAAUCCAUUCCUUUGAAUUUCAUUUAUAAUACUUCAUGACUGACACCUGGCUUUCCACCAAGACUCAAUUUUCAUAGCAAGCCUCAUCAUCAUAAGCCCCCAAAUUAACAGGAUGAGGAGGAAGAAUUGGCAGGCUAAAGAAGAUGAUUAUAUCAAUUAAUGCAGAAAAAGCAUUUGAUAAAAUCCAAUAUUCAUUUGUAAUUAAAAACUCUCAGCAAGUUAGGGAUAGGAAUUACUUCAACUUAAUGAAGAGUGUCUUUAAAAACCUUAUUUUCAUCAGUUAUAACAAAUGUACCACUCUGGUGGUGAAUGUUGCUAAGGAGGGAAGCUAUACAUGUGUGGGGAAAGGAGAUGUGUGAGCAAUUUCUGUACCUUCUACUCAAUCUUCUGUGAGACUAAAAUUGCUGUAAAAAAUAAAGUUCAUUUUUUUAAAAACCUACAGCUGUCAUUCUUAAUGCUGAAAGACAGAAUGCUUUUCUCUAAGAUAGGGAACAAGGCAAAGAUUCAGUUCUCACCACUCCUAUUCAACACAGCACUACAAGUUCUAGCCACUGAAAUGGGGGUUGGGGGGAAGCAGAAGAAGAAAAGAAAUAAAAUGUAUACAGUUUCAAAAGGAAGAAUUAAAAUAGUCCCUGUGUGCAGAUGACAUGAUUGUCUAUUUAGUAAACCCAUGGAUUAUACAAAAAUAAAAUUCCGAGAACUUAAAAAGUGAUUUCAGCAAGAUCACAGGAUAUAAGAUCGAGAUGAAAACCAAUGUCAUUUCUAUAUACAGUAAGUCCUCUCUCUUAAUAUCAUCAAUAGGUUCUUGGAAACUGACUUUAAGCAAAACAACAUAAAACUAAACCCAAUUUUUCAUCAUCAAAGUUAUAACAAAAUGAUGUUGAACAAAACUACAUUAUUUCAGGACCUGCCAUACAUCAUGUCACUUAAAAUUACAGUUUCUAAGAACCUACCAAUGGCAUUAUGUGAGAAUUACUGUAGUAACAAUAAACGUAUGAAAACCAAAAUUAAAACACAUUUACAAUCAACCCAAGGAAAAUGAAAUAUUGAGGUAUAAACUUAAUGUUUUAUGAGGCAACUUAAUGAGGCAAAAAAAUGUAUACUAUCUGAUGCUGAAAAUUGCAAAUGCUGAUGAAAGAAAUCAGUGAUGACAAAUAAACAGAGAGACAUACUAUAGUCACAAAUUGGAAGACUCAACAUAGUAAAAAUGUCAAUUUGCCUCAAAGUAAUCUGUAGGUAUAAGACAAUUAUCAAAAUUCAGGGAAGUUUUUUGUAGGCAUUGGCUAGCCUAUUCUAAAAUUUAUAUGAAAAGCACAAACCUUAGAAUAUCUAAGAUAAUCUGAAAAGAAGAAUAAAGUGAGAGGAAUCACUCUACCUGAUAUUAAGCUUUAUAAUACAGUAACAGUACUCAAGACUGUGUGGUAUUUGCCAAGGCAUGGACUCAGAUCAAUGGAACAGAAGAGAAAACACAGGAAUAGACCCAUAUAAACAUUUCCAACUGAUUGUUUUCCAAUCGAUUUGUGACAAAAGUGCAGAAGUAAUUCAGUGAAGGAAGGAUAGCCUUGCAACAAGUUGUGCUGAAGCAGUGAGCACCCAUAGGCAAAAAGAAAAAGAGAACAUCAACCUUAACCUCACAUCUUAUACAAAAAUUAAUCCAAAAUUGAUAAUAGACUUAAAUGUAAAAUAUAAAACAUUUCACAAAAAUAGAAGAAAGUCUUCAGGAUCUAGGACUAGGCAAAUAAUUCUUAAAUGAUAUCAAAAGCAUAAUUCAUAAAGGGAAAAGUUGAUAAAUUAGACCUCAUUAAAAUUAAAAACUUAUGGAAAAUGUGCUGUUAAGAGGAUAAAAAAUAUAAGCUACAGACUGAAAGAAAAUAUUUGCAAGCCACAUAACUGACAAAGGACUAGUAUCUAGAAUAUAUAAAGAAUUUUCAAUACUCAGUUGUAAAAACAAAAUAAUUCAACCAGAAAAUUGAUAUGAGCAAACAUGUCACUGAAGAGGAUGUACAGAUGGCAAAAAUGCAUGUAAAAAGAUUUCAACUUCAUAAACCGUUAGGGAAAUGUGAAUUAAGCAACCAAUCAGAAUGGUUAAAAUGUUUAAAAAAUAGUAACACCACCAAAUAUUGGCAAGGAUAUAAAGGAAUCGAAUCACUCAUGCAUUGCUAGUAAAAAAUGUAAAGAGGUACAGCCACACUGGGAAACCUUUUCAUGGUUUUCUAAAAACUAAGCAUGGAGUUACCAUACAUCCCAGCAGUUCUACUCAUCAGCAUUUAUCCCAGAGAAAUAAAAAUUUAUGUUUACACUAAAACCUAUAUAUGAAUGUUCAUAAUAGCAUUUUUCAUAGUAGCCAAAAAUUGGAACCGUCUCAGGUGUCCUACCAUGGGUGAAUGGUUAAACAAACUAUGGUGCAUCUAUAUCUACCAUGAAGUAGAACUCAGCAAUAAAAAGGAAUGAACUAUUCAUACACCUUAUAACUUGGAUGCAUCUCCAGGUAAUUGUGCUGAGUGAAAAAAAAAAAAAAAAGCCCCAAUUCCAAAAGGUUAUAUACUCUAUGAUUCUACUUCUGCAAUGUUUAUUAAAUGAUAAAAUUACAGAAGUGGGAAAAUGAUUAGUGGUUUCCAGGGGGUAUAUACAGUAAGGGUGAGAGGGCCGGAAGAGUGCAGUUUUAUAAGGGCAACAUAAGGGACCCUUAUGGUGAUGGGACUGUUCUGUAUCUUGACUCUGUUGGUAGUCACAUGAAUCUACACAUGAUAAAAUUGCAUAGAAUUAAACAUAUAUACACACUCAAAUGAAUGCAUGUAAAACCGGUAAAAUCUGAAUAAGGUAAAUGGAUCAUAAUCAAUGUCAAUUUUCCAUUUGUGAUAUUAUACUAUAGUUAUGUAAGAUGAUGUUAGCAUUGGGAGAAACUGGGUGAUGGAUAUACAGAAUCUUUCUGUAUUAUUUCUUGUAAUUGCAUAUGUAUCUCAAUGGUCUCAAAAUAAAAAGUUAAAUAAAUAAGAGAGACCAAAAAGUGGCUUUCCAGUGGAGAACUGAGAUAAUCUGAGCAUCUUAUGCUCUAAAUAAAGUAUGCAAUAAAAAUAAAAUAUAUAUAUAUAUAUAUAUAUAUAUCUGUAAGUCAUAUUGAAAGUUACACACCAUUUUGGGGAAAAGUCAAGUAAAAACAGCAGUAUACACUAUUAGCUUUAACAUUAGGCUUUGAGACUAUCUCUGGCCUUUUCUCUGGCCAAAGGGAAAGAAAUCCUCAGAUCUACUCUGAAGCCUUUCUUAGACUGAGAAGCCUCUGAUAGCAUUUCAAAGCAGCUUAGUGCCAAACAUUCUUUGAGCAUCCAGUAAGAGUCUGUUUGCAACUUAAUAGAAAGAUUUUUUAAGUUGCCUUUUGACUAUACACAAUGAGUUCUCUUUUUAUCUGGUUCCUGAUUACUCUCUGACCUUUAUCAUACAAAGAAAGAUCUUUCAGCCUAUUCCAAUCUGUACUAAAAUUCAGAUAAGAGGAAGCAUCCUCAAAGCUGGAUUAUCUGACUCUGAAGCCAGCGUGAUCCUCCUACUGCCUUCAGCAGCUUUUCGUAGUGUUCAGCCAGAACUGACAUUUCUACAUUCUACACUGCCAGCCUUUAAUGACCUCUCUCAUCUCCAAACUUCUAUAACAAUUAUUACCUAUACUAUGCAAUAAAAAACACUCAUUUUAAGUAUAAGUUUAAUGCCAUGUUGACAAAUGAAUUCAGCCCUGUGUGACCAUUGUCAUAAUCAAGUAACAGAACAUUUCCAUCACCCUAAAAAGUUCCCUUGGCCUCUUGCUCUUUUCCCCAGCCCCAGGCAACCAUUAUUUUGCUUUUUAUCACUAUAGUUUUGUCUGUUCUAGAAUUUUACUUAAGUGAAAGCAAAAGUGAAUAUUCUUUUGUCAUCUGGCUUCUUUAAAUUCUUCAGCAUAAUUUUUUAUAUUUAUGCAGUUCUUCUUAUCAGUUUAUUUUUAUUGGUGAGUAGU